UUCUAUAACGAGGGGGACCUUAACCUGCUAAAUAGCCGGGCGGGCUUUGGCGGGGGGCGGGCUUCUUGGGGGGACUAUCGGGUCAAGCCGAUGGAAGUUUGAGGCAAUAACAGGUCUGGGAUGCCCUUAGAUGUUCGGGGGGGCACGCGCGGUACACUGGCGGAGGCAGCGAGUUCUUCACCUUGGCCGGAAGGUCUGGGUAAUCUUGUGAAACUCUGUCGUGCUGGGGAUAGAGCAUUGCAAUUAUUGCUCUUCAACGAGGAGAUGCCUAGUAAGCGCGAGUCAUCAGCAUGCGUUGAUUACGUCCAUGCCGUACACCCUCCCAAU
rnacentral:rRNA from 1 species